AGCGCGUGGAUGCGAAGCAUCCACUACACUUUAUAAAAGUGCUAACACUUUUGAAGGCUGGAAGAGAAAAUUUGACCCGAGUGGCAAACGGGUGAGUAACGCGUAGACAACCUGCCUCUCAGAUGGGGACAACAUCCCGAAAGGGGUGCUAAUACCGAAUGUUGUGCAACUUCCACAUGGAGGAUGCACCAAAGGUGGUUUCGGCCACCGCUGAGAGAUGGGUCUGCGUCUGAUUAGCUUGUUGGCGGGGUAACGGCCCACCAAGGCGACGAUCAGUAGCCGGUCUGAGAGGAUGAACGGCCACAUUGGAACUGAGACACGGUCCAGACUCCUACGGGAGGCAGCAGUGGGGAAUCUUCCGCAAUGGGCGCAAGCCUGACGGAGCAACGCCGCGUGAGUAAAGAAGGAUUUCGGCUCGUAAAGCUCUGUUGAAGGGGACGAACGGUAGGCAUAGGAAAUGAUGCUUAUUUGACGGUACCUUUCGAGGAAGCCACGGCUAACUACGUG
rnacentral:rRNA from 1 species